AUUUAUGGUAGUUAGUGUAUGAUAUUAUUGCAUGCUAUUUUAUUUAUGGUUCUUAUGUUUAGAUAAUUAUUUACGCUAUUUCUGCUGGACUUACUAAUACUCUUUUUAUUUUUGUUUUUGUUUUUGUUUUUCCUUUCCUUCACAGAGCCAAUGGUCGAUUGGAAAUAGCCUUUCUGCCCUUUCGGAUAGGAGUAAGGCUCGUCUACAUAUUACCCUCCCCAGACCCCACACUGUGGGAUUAUACUUGAUAGUAGUUGUUGUUGUAAUAAUCUAUUAUUAUCUCUAUGGUGGUUCUGUUGUCAAUGUAUUUGCCAAUAUGUCUUCAGUCUGUUCAAUAUCCCUG
rnacentral:lncRNA from 1 species